ACUUUUUUAUUAUAAUUUAAUAUAUUUGAUUUCCAAUCAUAAGAUCUUGCAUAAACAAGAAAAAGUA
rnacentral:tRNA from 1 species